AUUGAACGCUGGCGGCAGGCCUAACACAUGCAAGUCGAGCGAGCGGCGGACGGGUGAGUAAUGUCUGGGGAACUGCCUGAUGGAGGGGGAUAACUACUGGAAACGGUAGCUAAUACCGCAUACCAUCAGAUGUGCCCAUAUGGGAUUAGCUAGUAGGUGGGGUAACGGCUCACCUAGGCGACGAUCCCUAGCUGGUCUGAGAGGAUGACCAGCCAAACUGGAACUGAGACACGGUCCAGACUCCUACGGGAGGCAGCAGUGGGGAAUAUUGCACAAUGGGCGCAAGCCUGAUGCAGCCAUGCCGCGUGUAUGAAGAAGGCCUUCGGGUUGUAAAGCACUUUCAGUCGGGAGGCGUUACCCGCAGAAGAAGCACCGGCUAACUCCGUGCCAGCAGCCGCGGUAAUUC
rnacentral:rRNA from 1 species